CGCGGUUCUCCUGGGUGAGCUGGUCCAACUGGCCCUCCAGCUCUUCGAUGCGCCGCCGCUGGGUCUCCAACAGCUGCUGCUGACUCUCAAUGAUGUUGUUCAGCUCCAGCAGCUCUGUGAUCUUACAGCCCACCCAGUCGGUAGUUCCCCAUCCCAGGCAGCCCCUGGAAUUCUAUUUCCACCAGCAGCAGCAGCACCACCACCACCAUCACCAUCACCACACACGGAAGUUCACAGGAUUUAGAAUCAUCACAACAGAAACAAAUCUAUGGGAAUGCUUGUGAGGGAUCAUCUAGAUUAUUUCAACUGUGGAAGGAAGAAUCACCCAUGGACUGUCUAAAGAUGAGAAGGUUAACUGAGCAGAAGUGUGAAUCUCUCUCUGCUUUCUGAUUGUGGAUACAAUAUGUCCAGAUGUUUUGAGCUCCUGCUGACUUGACUUCCCUGCAAUGAUGGACUUGUACCCUUAAAACUGUGAGCCGAAGUGUAAUUUCCCUCUUAAACUGCUCUCAUCAGAGAUUACUGCAACAGAAAAAAAGUAACUAAUAUAUAAAAUUGUUAUGAAAAA